ACGACCGGCGCACGGGUGCGUAACGCGUAUACAACCUACCUUAUAGAGGGGAAUAGCCCAGAGAAAUUUGGAUUAAUGCCCCAUAGUAUUAUCGAUUAGCAUUAAUUGAUGAUUAAACAUUUAUGGCUAUAAGAUGGGUAUGCGUUCUAUUAGCUAGAUGGUAAGGUAACGGCUUACCAUGGCUACGAUAGAUAGGGGUCCUGAGAGGGAGAUCCCCCACACUGGUACUGAGACACGGACCAGACUCCUACGGGAGGCAGCAGUGAGGAAUAUUGGACAAUGGGCGAGAGCCUGAUCCAGCCAUGCCGCGUGCAGGAAGACGGCCCUAUGGGUUGUAAACUGCUUUUAUACAGGAAGAAACACUCCCUUGCGAGGGAGCUUGACGGUACUGUACGAAUAAGGAUCGGCUAACUCCGUGCCAGCAGCCGCGGUAAUACGGAGGAUCCAAGCGUUAUCCGGAAUCAUUGGGUUUAAAGGGUCCGUAGGCGGGACAAUCAGUCAGCGGUGAAAGUCUGUGGCUCAACCAUAGAAUUGCCAUUGAUACUGUUGUUCUUGAAUACUUAUGAAGUGGUUGGAAUAUGU
rnacentral:rRNA from 1 species